rnacentral:rRNA from 1 species
UACAGAGGGUGCGAGCGUUGUCCGGAAUCACUGGGCGUAAAGGGCGCGUAGGCGGUCUCUUAAGCGUCUGGUGAAAGCCCGGGGCUCAACUCCGGGUCGGCCGUGCGAACUGGGGGACUGGAGCUUGUCAGAGGCAGGCGGAAUUCCGGGUGUAGCGGUGGAAUGCGUAGAGAUCCGGAAGAACACCAGUGGCGAAGGCGGCCAUCUGGAUCAACACUGACGCUGAGGCACGAAAGCGUGGGGAGCAAACAGG